AAAUUGGUCUUUUUCAAGACCACUGAAAAACUAUUUAUCUUUAUC
rfam:Harpegnathos saltator strain R22 G/1 HarSal_1.0_1.contig157, whole genome shotgun sequence.